ensembl:lncRNA
CUUGCAUGUGCAGUACCGUUGUUCACCACAGGAGGGCGCCCUACAGAGUCCAGCAACCGAGAAGGUGGAAGAUCAAAGACUGCUACGGCCUAUUUUGGAGAUGCUCUGCCAGGUGUUUGAGGAAUUAUAGAGAAACAAACACCCAGAAACUUAAGGAUCCGGUUUCAACUUUAUCCGCUUUAAAUUUUACACGCAGGAGAAAUCCUAAAACUGCAUUUGUGUCUCAGAUGAAUGUGAUUUUUGCCAUAAGCCACGGAAAAGCCAGGAGUCACAAAUGCUCCGACCUUUUGCUCCUGCCGGGUGAGCGCAAGCUCUCUUCAAUAAUUCAGUGGCUUUCUGUAACGAUGACAUCAUAAUGAUGAGCUUGUCAGAAAACAUUCAGAAUACCGAGCCAAAACUUAAAGGGACCAGUAGGGCAUAAUAGAGCAAUAAAAAUAAGCUCUAACUGCUCAAAAUGUUUUUGCUUUUUCGUAUGCCUAUGCAUAUUUCUUAAAUUGUAGUGACAGCUUUUCCUUUCUUUUGUUGGAAUACAUGACAGCUAGUCAUAUUCUGGAGCAGGUGCAAGACAGAAAUGCUCUCCUAUUCAAAUCAAGAGUGUCAGUAUUCCAUGUGCAGUGAUGGGCAGGCCUCUGUCAUUUUGCAUAAGCUAUCCCCUGGGACAGCUAUCACCAUACCUCUGCUACUACACUAUCAAUUUAUUCUCACCUCAAACAGUUAUUCUUCAAAGGCUGUCUGUCAGCCAAAAGGCUCUUUACUCUUUUAGGUUUUCUGGUAAGGAAUAAAAGAGAGUAGAACAUAACAGAAACAAAGUUAAUGAUUUUAACCUAAUAGAUAAAACCUAACACUUUUAAUAUGGCAUUUUGCAUUUUUUGAACAAUGGCAUAGUAUUAUUAAAUCCGACAAUGUAGAAUAACUUAUUGACAAACUGACAAGAAGUUAAAAAGUGAUUUUCACAAAUGGAUUUGUACGGCAGAUUAUAAAAAUGAGUCAAGGCCAGACACGAAGAUGUUAAUUUAAAAAAUUUUCUACUAUAAUCAAGAUAAAAUAAAAG